UACGUAGGGUGCAAGCGUUAAUCGGAAUUACUGGGCGUCAAGCGUGCGCAGGCGGUUUUGUAAGUCUGAUGUGAAAUCCCCGGGCUCAACCUGGGAAUUGCAUUGGAGACUGCAAGGCUAGAAUCUGGCAGAGGGGGGUAGAAUUCCACGUGUAGCAGUGAAAUGCGUAGAGAUGUGGAGGAACACCGAUGGCGAAGGCAGCCCCCUGGGUCAAGAUUGACGCUCAUGCACGAAAGCGUGGGGAGCAAACAGG
rnacentral:rRNA from 1 species